CCCAACGAGCCCCACGACUAGUCGUCCCCGCCGAUGCUCGAAACGGCGCACGCGGCGGCGGCGCGGCACCUGCACCGGCCACCGGGGGGUUUCGCCACCCACGCCGUAUUCGUUCCUCCUCGACUGCUUCGUCCGUGUCGAGGGAAGCGCAGAGGCAGAUCCAUCUCCAGCAGUGCAGCCUCUGAUCUUCUGAUUUAUGCAUUUGUUACUAGCCCUUUCACACCAUCAAUGAUGCUUCAAUGGUGAAUUCAUCUUUUAGUACUAUGUUGUUUUAGAAAUACUCCCAUUAGUGUUCUUAUCUUUUCGAGUUGGUGUAUACUCUGUUUAUAUAAGUUGCUAAUGCACAGUGCAAGUGCAGUACAGCCAAACAUACCUUGUGGAUUGAUGAUUGAAUUUCCUUGUUUGGUGGUUUUGUUCUAUGCCGAACAUUAGACAAAAAUAUAUAUUAUUUUGUACCAGUACUUCUAUUUGUGCAUUUUCCUUCAUCCUUUAUGGGUGUGCAGAGUACUAUGGUAGCACAGAAACUCGAAUUGCGCAUGAAGUUGCUUCAGAUCAUUCUUCUGGGCAAUAGAUAUUCUCAAAUCUCAAUGGUUGACCAAGUGUAUCAUUCUCCACACAAUUCUUUUAACAGAAGUUAAACUUUCAUGCAAGUCUACAUCAUGGUGACUGGUUUUAGAGAACUUACUUCAUUAUACUACCCAAAUUUUUCCUCGGGUAUUUUGAUCAAAAUACAAUAGCAUGAUAUUUUGGGAAAAUAUCUUAUCCCCGUCAGUAGUUCUAUCUUGUAUGUACAUCUAAAAGCAUAAAGAUAUUUCCUCCUCAAAUCUUUCUUUAUUCCAUUUCAUGGGUGCGUAUAUAUAGAGGUGGUGAUUGGUGAGUUGCCAAAACAACUGAAAGAAUGGGCUCCAGGACACGAUAUUUAGAAGAUGGUGACAACUAAAGUUAUAAAGAAAAUGUCACCAGUUGAGGACUCCACCUGAGAUGCCAAAAGGCUUCUGUUCAAGUUUUUUUCGAACAAAAAGCAGGAACGAGUGAAGGUUCACCUGGAGGACUGACUAUUACAGGCUGGUUUAGACGGUAAACAGACAAGUAGUUGAUUAACAUUCAGAGGAAAAGCUAAAAAGUAUGAUGGAUGCAUCUGUGUUAACACUUUGGAGUCAAUUUCACAUGUUCAUGGGAAGAUGAUCUAACAAAGGAACAUAUGAGGCUUUUCAGCAACGUAAGUCAAAUAUGAGCAAUUACAUAGCAAUUUUUCUAGCUGGCAUUCAACACCUGUAGAUCUGAAUUCCUUUUGCUAAAGAUGGCACUGUAGACGUCCAAAUGAUUAAAAAGGGAGAGGACAGCAGGCAUGUAAUAUUAUAGUUUUUUGCCCCUUUGUAAGUCCUAUGAUUUCCCAGUAUUGGUGGACCUGAAGCCACCAAACACUGCUACAGAGAGAGAGCCUUUGACCCACUCAGUAUGCCACAGCACAGAGCUACAGAUACUUUCUGCUUGCUUACUCCACCAACCGCAUCAGAGUUAGCUCAUCUCCCCCUUGACCAGUUUCUCUCCAUACGCCCACGUAGACAACAUAGGAUUGUCUUAAUCCGCUAUAAAGCUCAUGCAGAACGAGAAACUUGCCACAAAAACACCUGAACCAUCUAAAGUUCCAAACACAGCAAGAGCUAA